GAUGAACGCUAGUGGCAGGCCUAAUACAUGCAAGUCGAACGGUGUCUUCGGACAUAGUGGCGCACGGGUGCGUAACACGUAUGCAACCUACCUUACAUUGGGGGAUAGCCUUUCGAAAGGGAGAUUAAUACCGCAUAAGACAGUAGCUGGGCAUCCAGCAGCUGUUAAAGAUUUAUCGAUGUAAGCUGGGCAUGCGUCCAAUUAGCUAGUUGGUGAGGUAACGGCUCACCAAGGCAAUGAUUGGUAGGGGAACUGAGAGGUCAAUCCCCCACACUGGGACUGAGAUCCGGGCCAGACUCAUACGGGAGGCAGCAGUAGGGAAUAUUGGGCAAUGGACGCAAGUCUGACCCAGCCAUGCCGCGUGCAGGAAGACGGCCCUACGGGUUGUAAACUGCUUUUGUACGGGAAUAAACCUACUUACGUGUAAGUAGCUGAAUGUACUGUAAGAAUAAGGAUCGGCUAACUCCGUGCCAGCAGCCGCGGUAAUAC
rnacentral:rRNA from 1 species